rnacentral:sRNA from 1 species
GUGUCUCCCGGUCUGCUAAAGCCCUAAGGCCAUCACCAUGGACUUCCAGCAUCGCCCCGGGGGCAAGACCGGGAGCGGGGGUGUGGCCUCCUCCUCCGAGAGCAACCGUGACCGCAGGGAGCGCCUCCGGCAGCUGGCCCUGGAGACCAUCGACAUCAACAAGGACCCGUACUUCAUGAAGAACCACCUGGGCUCCUAUGAAUGCAAGCUCUGCCUGACGCUUCACAACAAUGAGGUGCGGCCUCUGCCUGGCUCCGGAUGGCUCGUGGCGGGCUGAGUGGCUGACAUCAGGGGGACCUGCCUGUGUCUGUCCCCCUGGCCUCGAGUCAUGCGUGUUUCCUUUCCACUCCAGGGGAGCUACCUGGCACAUACCCAGGGGAAGAAGCACCAGACCAACCUGUGAGUACCUCAUGUCCCUUUGAUGCCUGGUGCUCUAGCAGCCGUCGGCUCAAGUCUCUUUGAGCCUCAUGGGCCACUGCUCCACAGCCGGGAAGCCAGCCUGGCCUGAGCAUCCCUGGGCGCUGGAGUAUGCUUUCUGGGGAGCAUUAGAGAACAGGCAUGGAUGGCUGAG